rnacentral:tRNA from 1 species
GGGAUUUUAGCUCAGUGGUAGAGUGCUUGCUCGCACAUAUGAGACACUGGGUUCAAUCCUCAGUACCA